GAUGAACGCUGGCGGCGUGCCUAAUACAUGCAAGUCGAGCGAAUGGAUUAAGAGCUUGCUCUUAUGAAGUUAGCGGCGGAUGGGUGAGUAACACGUGUGUAACCUGCGCAUAAGACUGGGAUAACUACGGGAAACAGGGGCUAAUACCGGAUAACAUUUUGAACCGCAUGGUUCGAAAUUGAAAGGCGGCUUCGGCUGUCACUUAUGGAUGGACCCGCGUCGCAUUAGCUAGCUGGUGAGGUAACGGUCCACCAAGGCAACGAUGCGUAGCCGACCUGAGAGGGUGAGCGGCCACACUGGGACUGAGACACGGCCCAGACUCCUACGGGAGGCAGCAGUAGGGAAUCUGCCACAAUGGACGAAAGGCUGAUGGAACAACGCCGCGUGAGUGAAGAAGGUUCUCGGAUCGUAAAACUCUGUUGUGAGGGAAGAACAAGUACCGGAGUAACUGCCGGUGCCUUGACGGUACCUCAUUAGAAAGCCACGGCUAACUACGUGCCAGCCGCCGCAGUAA
rnacentral:rRNA from 1 species